AUAUUGCUCAAUGGGGGAAACCCUGAAGCAGCAACGCCGCGUGAAGGAUGAAGGCCUUCGGGUUGUAAACUUCUUUGAUUGGGGACGAAUAAUGACGGUACCCAAGGAACAAGCCACGGCUAACCACGUGCCAGCAGCCGCGGUAAUACGUAGGUGGCGAGCGUUGUCCGGAAUUACUGGGUGUAAAGGGCGUGUAGGCGGGGAUGUAAGUCAGAUGUGAAAUUCCGGGGCUCAACCCCGGCGCUGCAUCUGAAACUAUGUCUCUUGAGUGCUGGAGAGGAAAGCGGAAUUCCUAGUGUAGCGGUGAAAUGCGUAGAUAUUAGGAGGAACACCAGUGGCGAAGGCGGCUUUCUGGACAGUAACUGACGCUGAGGCGCGAAAGCGUGGGGAGCAAACAGG
rnacentral:rRNA from 1 species